UACGGGGGAGCAAGCGUUGUUCGGAUUUACUGGGCGUAAAGGGCGCGUAGGCGGUCAGCACAAGUCAGUUGUGAAAUCUCCGGGCUUAACUCGGAAAGGUCAACUGAUACUGUGCGACUAGAGUGCAGAAGGGGCAACUGGAAUUCUCGGUGUAGCGGUGAAAUGCGUAGAUAUCGAGAGGAACACCUGAGGUGAAGACGGGUUGCUGGGCUGACACUGACGCUGAGGCGCGAAAGCCAGGGGAGCAAACGGG
rnacentral:rRNA from 1 species